GCUAUUUGUAUAUUGCAUGAUAUUUUAUCAGGAAAAAAAAUAAAACAGAUCUAAUUUCAUGAAAAUGCUGUUGCCAUAAUGCUCAGGAGAACAGGGGGAAGAGAGAGAUUCAAGUCUUCCUAAUGUCUACCUUAUAUGCAGAGCCUUGGAAAGAUGGGCAAAUGCUCUGUGACAAGCCACCAGGGUAGACUGGUACUGAAAAGACCCUACUACACACAGGGGCUCUGUCCCUGGCUGGAAAGUUACAAGUCAGCCUACCUCUCUGUGAUCUGGUUUCCACACCUACUACUCCUUAUCCCAUGAGGAGCUUCUGGAAACUAAAAAAGCAGCUGCCCAGGUAGAAGAGUGUUGACCAAAGGACACAUCACCAACACAGACUGUUAAUCAUGUGACUAGAGAAAACUCUCAUGGUGGCAUUCAAAUUUCCAUAUCCUUCUUCUAUGGAAAUUUCUGAGAGACCCAGAAAAGAAGCAUAACCACGAGGGAAAGUGAUUCCUGCAGACCUGAACAUUCCAGACUUACCAGGUGAUCCAGCUGUCUGUCAGCGAGAAGAGGCUGAGGCGCCCCCUUCUGGUGCAUCUGAAUAGUAAGAAACCCUGUGUAGAAAGAAACCCUGUAGCAAUUGGGCACCUUCUCUGUGAUCUGUCCGCUUCCAAUACCAAAAUUGUUGCUUUUUAAAUGAUAUCCAUCGUAAGCUUUAAAAAGACGCAUAUUAUUUGUAUAAAAUGUGGAAGACGCAGAACAAAAGAUGUAAAUCACAUGUAAUCAUCCCUUCCAGAAAUAAUCAUUAUUAAAAUUUCUGUGUAUGUGUUAAAAAAAAUUGCAAUCCGACUGUAAUAUAAUCCUGUAUACUGAUAUUUUUCACCUAUCACUGUAUGUUGAGCAUUUUCAAUAGUCAAAUUAUUUCUUGAAAAUAUUAAUGACUGGGGAGUAACCUUUCAAAUAGGUGUGUCUUUAUUUUUAAACCAGUCCACAAUUAUUGUAUAUUGAAGUCAUUUCCCAAAUUUUGUAAGUAUAAGUAUUGCAUCCAUCCUUAUAUGUAUUUAAAUGCAUCUCUUAUUAUUUCCUUGAGAUAAGUUCCUAGAAGUGGAAUCACUGGAUUUAAAAAUGUGGACAUAUUUAUGCCAGACGCGGUGGGUCAUGCCUGUAAUCCCAGCACUUUGGGAGACCGAAGCAGGUGGAUCACUUGAGGUCAGGAGUUCGAGACCAGCCUGGCCAACAUAGUGAAACCCCAUCUCUACUAAAAUUACAAAAAUUAGCCAGGUGUGGUGGUGCACGCCUGUAAUCCCAGCUACUCAGGAGGCUGAGGCAUAAGAAUCACUUGAACUCAGGAGGCGGAGGUUGCAGUGAGCCGAGAUGGCACCACUGCGCUCCAGUCUGGGCGACAGAGUAAGACUUCAUCUCAAAAAUAAAUAAAUAAAAUUAAAAUUAAAUAAGAUAAAUAAAAAAUUAAAAUGUGGACAUAUUUAAAUCUUCAUAUAUAUUACCAAAUGCCCUCCUGAAAUUUUUUACCUGUUACAUUCCAACCAAUAGUGUAAGGGCAUGACUCUUUCCCUGUGUUUUGGGAUGGAUGUUAUCAAAGUUCUCUCCCACCCAGGCCAAGUAUGGUAUAUGCUUUGUUUUAAUUUGAAUUUUUAAAUUAUUAUUUAAAAUGGACAUUUUGUUGUCCAUUUGAACAACUUUCUUUUGAGUCACUGUUCAUGUUCUUUGCCCAUUGUUUCUCUUUUAUUAGUAAGAACCCUAUUGUCAUUUUUAUAUUUUAAAUAAAAUUUCGUUGUAUAUACAUUUAUAUUAUCUAUAGUAAAGUAUAUUUUAUUAUUAAUGAGAACUCUUUUUAUAUUAAAGAUCCUAACCUAC
rnacentral:antisense_RNA from 1 species